rnacentral:rRNA from 1 species
GACGAACGCUGGCGGCGUGCUUAACACAUGCAAGUCGAACGAAAAGAGGGAAAGAGCUUGCUCUUUCCGGAAUUGAGUGGCAAACGGGUGAGUAACACGUAAACAACCUGCCUUCAGGAUGGGGACAACAGACGGAAACGACUGCUAAUACCGAAUAAGUUCCAAGAGCCGCAUGGCCCAUGGAAGAAAAGGUGGCCUCUACCUGUAAGCUAUCGCCUGAAGAGGGGUUUGCGUCUGAUUAGCUGGUUGGAGGGGUAACGGCCCACCAAGGCGACGAUCAGUAGCCGGUCUGAGAGGAUGAACGGCCACACUGGAACUGAGACACGGUCCAGACUCCUACGGGAGGCAGCAGUGGGGAAUCUUCCGCAAUGGGCGAAAGCCUGACGGAGCAACGCCGCGUGAGUGAUGACGGCCUUCGGGUUGUAAAACUCUGUAAUCCGGGACGAAAAGGCAGAGUGCGAAGAACAAACUGCAUUGACGGUACCGGAAAAGCAAGCCGCGGCUAACUACGUGCCAGCAGCCGCGGUAAUACGUAGGUGGCAAGCGUUGUCCGGAAUUAUUGGGCGUAAAGCGCGCGCAGGCGGCUUCCCAAGUCCCUCUUAAAAGUGCGGGGCUUAACCCCGUGAUGGGAAGGAAACUGGGAAGCUGGAGUAUCGGAGAGGAAAGUGGAAUUCCUAGUGUAGCGGUGAAAUGCGUAGAGAUUAGGAAGAACACCGGUGGCGAAGGCGACUUUCUGGACGAAAACUGACGCUGAGGCGCGAAAGCGUGGGGAGCAAACAGG